GAUGAACGCUAGCGGCAGGCUUAAUACAUGCAAGUCGAGGGGCAGCAGUUUUGUAGCAAUACAGAAGCUGGCGACCGGCAAACGGGUGCGGAACACGUACGCAACCUUCCUUUAACUGGAAGAUAGCCCACCGAAAGGUGGAUUAAUACUCCAUAACAUAUUGAAGAGGCAUCUUCUUGAUAUUAAAGCUCCGGCGAUUAAAGAUGGGCGUGCGUCUGAUUAGGUAGUUGGCGGGGUAACGGCCCACCAAGCCUUCGAUCAGUAGCUGAUGUGCGAGCAGGAUCAGCCACACGGGCACGGAGACACGGGCCCGACUCCUACGGGAGGCAGCAGUAAGGAAUAUUGGUCAAUGGACGCAAGUCUGAACCAGCCAUGCCGCGUGGAGGAUGAAGGCCCUCUGGGUUGUAAACUUCUUUUCUUUGGGACGAAACCCCUGUUUCUACGGGGACUGACGGUACCAGAGGAAUAAGCACCGGCUAACUCCGUGCCAGCAGCCGCCGUAAGAC
rnacentral:rRNA from 1 species